UCAAUCUGGGUAACAACGCUUAAUAGUUUCUCGUGCGAUCUCGCGUUAUUUCUCUUCUUGUUUUAACUUGGAAAUGUCUACCAAUAAGAGGAAGACCAGGAAACUUCGUGGACAUGUUAGCCAUGGCCAUGGUCGUAUAGGUAAGGCCAGGAAACAUCCAGGUGGUCGUGGUAACGCUGGAGGUAUGCAUCAUCACAGGAUAAAUUUUGAUAAAUAGUAAGUUUUGUUGUU